rnacentral:ncRNA from 2 species
GGAUUAAGUCUUAUUAUCUGCCCUAUAUUUAGUAGAGCAGGGGGUGGGGAACACCGGUGCAAAUCCGGGGCUGUCGCGCAACGGUAAUGCGGUUUUGACCGCGAAGCCCGACCACCACCCGAGACGAAGGGCGCCGC